CACUAAGAAUCUAAAUAUAGCCGUAGCGUUAGCCUUUUAAGCUAAAAACUGGUGGUCCCCACCCACCCUUAUUGA
rnacentral:tRNA from 1 species